AUUUUUUCUUUAAAUGUAAGGAGUUGUGCCUCGGCUAUAGUCGGGAUAUCAUCAGCUCGUUGUUGAAAUGGUGUAGAAAAGCUGGCUGUCUGAGCAAAAUUCGGCGUGGCUGCGGCAUUCGCAAUAUAAUAUGCGCUAUCAAUGAAGUCCUCAAGUUCUUCGAGUGACGAAGUGUCAGCAAUCGAUUCAAACCCCAUAUCUUUGGCUUGAGUAUUGUACGAACAAUUGUGAGUUAAAGGGGCCAUGUCCUCAAACACACGGCCAUUACCAACGAUAUGUUCGCCUUCGACCGACAUUUUUGUAGUUGUUUGGAUUAAACUAUCCGAGGUCGUAUUUGUUUGCUUAAUAACGCAAUUUGUGUCUAAUACGCUCACUAGAAAUUCCUUGAAAGAUUUGCCUUUCUUUCCAUUGAAAGUCAAAUAGUUUUGUUUGCCCGGGUACCAAGUCAUAAUAAAAUCAGAGCUUAAGUUUAUAAACUGUUUGGCUUUACCGCCAGGCGACGUCCAUUUACCCGUUAAUCCGACAACAUUUUCGGCAAAAGUCCUUAACGAACAGAGGUCGUUUGUCCAUUUGAGACGGAUCCCAUCAUAAACUAGAUGACCUUGAUUGUUUAACAACUUUAUGGAGUUCAUAUCAAUAGUUUCAGGACUAAAAUUUUCAAGUUUAGUUGAGGCCAUAAUUAAACCAUGAUUGCUUUUAAUUUUCAAAAUAUUUUAUUACCGAAAUACUUAUGGUAACUAUAUAGGUUAUUAUGCGUGGUGUAAGCUUCAAUUUAAUAUGAAAUACAACGACCUAUAUACUGUAACGCUUCAUAACUGUUUUGGUUUAUUUAUAAAACUCAACAGUUUUUAUCGAUGAACUUCGUGUUUGAAAUAAAACCAUUUUAUGCCAUAGAAUUCUGUCAUUUUCAUAAUAGAAAUACAGUAAGUUAAUGUUUAUUCAUCCAACAAAACCUACCUUGUAUAUAUAAUAUUUUAUUUUAAAGUGUUUUUGUAAACUUGGUGUUUCAAAGAAUUACAAAAGAAAUGCUAAUUGUUUGUUUCAUUUUGCAACAAACUCAAGGUAAAUGGUGAUUCAAUAGCAACGAUCGAUGUGCCGGAAAAAUAUAUAGGUAUUGUAAUGGGCAAAGAACGUAGGAAUAUAGCGAAGAUUGAAACAAAAUCAGCAACCGGAAUCAAAGUUGCUUCUGUCCAAAACGCUGAAG